CAGUCGCCGCGGUAAUACGUAGGUGGCAAGCGUUGUCCGGAAUUAUUGGGCGUAAAGGGCUCGCAGGCGGUUUCUUAAGUCUGAUGUGAAAGCCCCCGGCUCAACCGGGGAGGGUCAUUGGAAACUGGGAAACUUGAGUGCAGAAGAGGAGAGUGGAAUUCCACGGGUAGCGGUGAAAUGCGUAGAGAUGUGGAGGAACACCAGUGGCGAAGGCGACUCUCUGGUCUGUAACUGACGCUGAGGAGCGAAAGCGUGGGGAGCGAACAGGAUUAGAUACCCCUGUAGUCCCUGUCUCUUAUAC
rnacentral:rRNA from 1 species